ACAUAAAAAUUAGGAUAUGAAAUUUAGGAUAAUUCUAGAUACACAUAUUUGUAAAGCAUCCUAAAAAUCUACUAAUUAAGUGGUAACUCAAAAAUCUACCUUACAAUUAUUCUGGACCGUCUCACGUCAAUUAAUAAAUAACAAAAGAAACCCAUUGAUAUGUGAUUCACUACCACACACCAUGGAAUUUUCAAGUUCAAGCUUUUGGCGCCGGUUAACUUGAAUGUUUCAUUACAAAUAUUAGGGUUGGCAAAACCUCGGGUCCAGGUGGAGUUUAGACUUACCAGGCAUCGGCCCCGAAUUGAUAAAAUUGCUAUCUAGACCCGACUUCGUGCCUAGUUUUUUCACAUCCUGGCCGGGUCAAGCCCGAAAACUCCCAAACAUGGGUUUUUAUUUGGAUUUCCCUUGCGUAGAUAUGAACUGAAAAAAAAAUGUAACAGUGCAAAAAUUUAAAUUUCUAACCUACUUAAUUCAUUUAAUCUUCAAUAUAAACUCAUUCAAUUAUUUAUCAAAUAUUUAAUUUCAGCAGCACAGUAAUUAGCAAAUAAUAUCCGACAUAAGUUCAACUCAUCAACACAAUAAUCUCCAAAUUACAUCCAACAUUAAUAAUAAUAAUAAUAAUAAGAGUUUCAUCAUUUUUUUUUAAAAGAGAAAAUUGAGAAGUCAAAAAUCAAUGCCUCGUGGCUGUGAUGGUGGAGCGAUGAUGGCUAAGAAGGCGACGAUGGAGACUGUGGCUGUGCGAACAUGGCUAUAGGUUGUGCUUUAUCAGUUGUGACAAUGACACUGGAGAUGGAAAGAAGCCACGCACCAAGGCCAACAACUGAGAAGUGAAAAUGGAUGAUGCCUAGGCGUGGAGGUUCAUGGAGGAGUGGUGCAGCGGUAGGUGGUGGC
rnacentral:lncRNA from 1 species